CUAAAAUUAAUAAUUAAAAAAUUUAUCAAUUUGUUUUGUAUCUUAGUUUAUUGAGGAUAAGCUCAAUAAAAAUAAUAAAAUAGUAUAUAUACCUCAUUUAAUUAGCCACAUGGGCUUAAAAUUAGCAAUUGUGUUAAAGUUUGUUACAAAAUAGUCUUUAUAUGUGGAAAGAUUAAUAUACUUUUUUUAUAGGGGGUAACACGAAAAACCAUAAUAUCUUGAUUCACUUAUGCUAGGAUGAGUAUUAAUGUAUAAGAUAUAUAAACAAAAACAGAAAGAUAUACAAAAUAACUUUACUUAAAAUGAAAUAAGAAUAAGGAAUUCAGCAAACGCUUAGCUCCGCCUGUUUAUCAAAAACAUGGCUCUUUGUUAAUCAAAUAUAAAGAGUCGGACCUGCCCAGUGAAGUUUUAACGGCCGCGGUACUCUGACCGUGCAAAGGUAGCAUAAUCAUUUGCCUUAUAAUUGAAGGCUUGUAUGAAUGGUUUGACGGGAGCAUUACUGUCUUUUUCUUACUUUAUAGAACUUGACCUCUAGGUGAAGAGGCCUAGAUAGAGUUGAAAGACAAAAAGACCCUGUCGAGCUUAAAAAGGAAUCAGAAUAAUUUUAUUAUCCAAGAUUAAUUACUGACUAAUUUUUUUGGUUGGGGCGACCAAGGAACAAAAAAGCUUCCUCUAUUCUCUUAGCUAAUAAGCAUAGAUCCAGAAAAAGCUGAUUAAAAGAAAUAGUUACCGCAGGGAUAACAGCAUAAUCUCUCUUGAGAGACCUAAUCGAAAGAGGGGGUUGUGACCUCGAUGUUGGACUAGAAUAUCCUAAAGAUGCAGAAGUCU
rnacentral:rRNA from 2 species